UACGAAGGGGGCUAGCGUUGUUCGGAAUUACUGGGCGUAAAGCGCACGUAGGCGGCUUGGUAUGUCGGGUGUGAAAUCCCCGGGCUCAACCUGGGAACUGCAUCCGAAACUGCCUUGCUCGAGUAUGGGAGAGGGAAGUGGAAUUUCCGGUGUAGCGGUGAAAUGCGUAGAUAUCUGGAGGAACACCGGUGGCGAAGGCGGCAUCCUGGACCAACACUGACGCUGAGGCGCGAAAGCCAGGGGAGCAAACGGG
rnacentral:rRNA from 1 species